UGGGGAAUAUUGCGCAAUGGGGGAAACCCUGACGCAGCAACGCCGCGUGAGUGAAGAAGGCCUUAGGGUUGUAAAGCUCUGUCAUAUGGGAAGAUAAUGACGGUACCAUAAGAGGAAGCCACGGCUAACUACGUGCCAGCAGCCGCGGUAAUACGUAGGUGGCGAGCGUUGUCCGGAUGUACUGGGCGUAAAGGAUGCGUAGGCGGAUAUGUAAGUGGGAUGUGAAAUCCCCGAGCUGAACUCGGGGGCUGCAUUCCAAACUGGAUAUCUAGAGUGUGGGAGGGGAAAGUGGAAUUCCUAGUGUAGCGGUGAAAUGCGUAGAGAUUAGGAAGAACACCAGUGGCGAAGGCGACUUUCUGGACGAUAACUGACGCUGAGGCAUGAAAGCGUGGGGAGCAAACA
rnacentral:rRNA from 1 species